rnacentral:rRNA from 1 species
GGAACGUGCCAUUGAGUGGGGGAUAACGUAGCGAAAGUUGCGCUAAUACCGCAUAUUCUGUGAGCAGGAAAGCAGGGGACCGCAAGGCCUUGCGCUCUUUGAGCGGCCGAUGUCAGAUUAGCUAGUUGGUGAGGUAAAGGCUUACCAAGGCGACGAUCUGUAGCGGGUCUGAGAGGAUGAUCCGCCACACUGGAACUGAGACACGGUCCAGACUCCUACGGGAGGCAGCAGUGGGGAAUUUUGGACAAUGGGGGCAACCCUGAUUCAGCCAUGCCGCGUGAGUGAAGAAGGCCUUCGGGUUGUAAAGCUCUUUCGGCCGGGAAGAAAUCGCAUGGGCUAAUACCCUGUGUGGAUGACGGUACCGGAAUAAGAAGCACCGGCUAACUACGUGCCAGCAGCCGCGGUAAUACGUAGGGUGCGAGCGUUAAUCGGAAUUACUGGGCGUAAAGCGUGCGCAGGCGGUUUUGUAAGACAGGCGUGAAAUCCCCGGGCUUAACCUGGGAACUGCGCUUGUGACUGCAAGGCUAGAGUACGGCAGAGGGGGGUGGAAUUCCACGUGUAGCAGUGAAAUGCGUAGAGAUGUGGAGGAACACCAAUGGCGAAGGCAGCCCCCUGGGUCGAUACUGACGCUCAUGCACGAAAGCGUGGGUAGCAAACAGGAUUAGAUACCCUGGUAGUCCACGCCCUAAACUAUGUCAACUAGGUGUUGGGUGGGUAAAACCAUUUAGUACCGUAGCUAACGCGUGAAGUUGACCGCCUGGGGAGUACGGCCGCAAGGA